UGAGUAUUUAGAACACUUUGCUGCUGCC
rnacentral:piRNA from 1 species